GACGUAGGGGGCGAGCGUUGUCCGGAUUUAUUGGGCGUAAAGAGCGUGUAGGCGGCUUUGCAGGUCCGCUGUGAAAACUCGAGGCUCAACCUCGAGCUGUCGGUGGAAACCGUAAAGCUAGAGUCCGGAAGAGGAGAGUGGAAUUCCCGGUGUAGCGGUGAAAUGCGCAGAUAUCGGGAAGAACACCCGUGGCGAAGGCGGCUCUCUGGGACGGUACUGACGCUGAGACGCGAAAGCGUGGGGAGCGAACAGG
rnacentral:rRNA from 1 species